CAAACAUACAGCUUGGAGAUCACCAGCUUCUUUAAUGGGAAUUCUGCCUUGUACCGUGCUGACUCCAAUCACAAGGAGAGGCUUGUGAAGAGUGUGUCUGAUGUGGUCAGUCAGGUGACCAAUACACAGAUCCCCCGACACCUGCACAUUCUGGAGAUUUUCCCUUCCUUCGCCAAGGACAAGGACUGGGGGAUGUUUCCUCCCAUCAGGUACCUGUUCAGAUGAUGUCAUCAAGAGGAGACAGACCUGAGAGGCCCUAACAAUAGAGCCGUACAGAGAGCCACUGUAUCAACCCUCC
rnacentral:lncRNA from 1 species